UGGGGGAUCGUCUAAUGGUCGGACGCCGCCCUUUGAAGGCGUGAAUCGGGGUUCGAUUCCCUGUCCCCCAG
rnacentral:tRNA from 1 species